AUGGCCCCACUCAAGCAGGUGUCCUCUCUGUUUCAUUAUAGUAGACACAUUUUCUUUCAUAGUGUGAUAGAUAUCGGUGAGAAGUUUAUCUGUGAAGAAAUCUCUUUUGGUUCCUUCACAGAAUAUAUCGAAACAAUUGAAUACCAGCUAAGUACUUUUUUGGGCCGAAAUCAUCCUAACAUCCCGCCAUUGUGGCUUGAACUUGCUGAGCAGUUUGCUAAACGCCAUAUUAAUUCAAACAACGGAAAGUAUUUAUAUGCUACAGAAGCUAAGGGCUCGGAUAAUGCAUUUGCUCAAAUCAGCAAAGGGCCUAAAGUUCGAUUCCUGGUUGACUGCUUAGUACGGAAAGCAGCUUACUUUCGUGCAGAGAGACUUGAUUUCCAGUCAUGGUCGUUUUUAGUGCAAGUCAGUUUGUCAAAUUAUAUAUGGAAGGCCACUGAUUUAAAAUAUCUAGAACUUUAUUUUAGUGAAGGUUUGGAUCAAAAUUUUUUUAGGGAAGGAAUCAAUUCUUUAAGUCAACGUUUGCUUAACCGCAUACCAUUUUUAACAAAUUUGACCCAUUUUCAUGUCAAUGAGUUCUCAGAUGAGCUCAUCGCCAUAUUAUGCAAGAAUUGUAAGUCUCUGGAAUCUCUUAAACUAGGAAAUCUUCGAGCAAAAGCAGGGUUUACUAAUUGUCAUAUUACAAAUGAAAGCAUCGAAUUUCUUGCUUCUUUGACAAAGUUGAAAACUUUAGAAAUUUAUAUAUGUGAGGAUUUGUGUGCGAGACUUCUUUUGAAGUCCCAAUCUCAUAACUUAACAUACUUUUCAAAUACAAUUGAACAUUGGGAGUUAGAUGGUAGUUUUAUUAAUGCGCUCCUAACGGAAUUAGUCAGUGAAGUUGUGCCCUUCCGUCCUUUUAAUUUGAUCCGUAUAAAAUGUGACACGCUUGAUUCAGAUCUUUCGUGUUUGAUACCUAAGUAUUUCCCCUAUUUAGAGUCUAUUGAUGUUAUGAACUGCUUGGAUGAUAUGCCAGAAUUUUCUUUUCUAGAAUCUUUGAACCAUCUGAAAGCAGUUAAUUUAGAAAUUACAGUUUUUGAAAAUGAUUUUCUUGACCUCCUAUCCUUAAAAAUUCCAUUGCUAGCUAAGCUAAAGUUAGACUGUGGUAGUGAUGGAGACUUUCCACUAGAGACAAAUACCUUUUUGGAGUUUGGACUUAAUUGCCCCAACCUCCAUUCAAUUGAACUAGAACAAUGUGUCUUUGUUAAUAAUAUUGAACCGACCCAUAGGUCCCAGAAACCAUUUCAGAACUUGAGAAAUUUCAAAUUGACAAAUUUAGGCUCUUUUCUGGGUGCUGAGACUAUCCUUAGUUAUGCCCCAAACAUUGAAGAAAUCCAUAUUUAUCCUGGCGAGAAAUAUCGUAUCUCAGAUGAAUUCUUUGACCGUAUCUUUCAAGCAAAUCCCCUCAGUAAACUAAGAAAACUGGCUUUUGCACUAUCUGAUGUGUCUUCAGAUAUGUUUAAAUUUCUUAUUAGAAGGUGCCCAAAGAUAACCUCCUUUCAAAGCUUGGAUGGAACUAAACUUGAUGAUGGAUAUCCCGAGAUAAGUAAAUUCAUAUCUGAGAACAAUUAUGAUGUAUCAUUUCGUUGA
rnacentral:lncRNA from 1 species